GCGAAGUCAGUGGCGGCAGGCGCGGGAAUAGGGAGGGUGCAAGGGGUGGUCGGAGUUACUGGGCGUAAAGCGAGCGCGGGCGGCAAGGUAAGGAAGGGGUGAAAUCUACCGGCUCAACGGGUAGGGUGCAGUUUAGACUGCGUUGCUUGAGGUCGGUAGAGGGGGGUGGAAUUGCUGGUGUAGCGGUGAAAUGCGUAGAGAUCAGCAGGAACACCCGUGGCGAAGGCGGCCCCCUGGGCCGUACCUGACGCUGAGGCGCGAAGGCUAGGGGAGCGAACGGGAUUAGAUACCCUGGUAGUC
rnacentral:rRNA from 1 species